AUUGAACGCUAGCGGCAGGCCUUACACAUGCAAGUCGAGCGGAGUGGCGAACGGGUGAGUAAUGUAUCGGAACGUGCCCAGUAGCGGGGGAUAACUUCGCGAAAGCGGCGCUAAUACCGCAUACUAUUGGAUCAGCCGAUGUCGGAUUAGCUAGUUGGUGGGGUAAAGGCCCACCAAGGCGACGAUCCGUAGCUGGUUUGAGAGGAUGAUCAGCCACACUGGGACUGAGACACGGCCCAGACUCCUACGGGAGGCAGCAGUGGGGAAUUUUGGACAAUGGGGGAAAGCCUGAUCCAGCCAUGCCGCGUGUGUGAAGAAGGUCUUCGGGUUGUAAAGCACUUUAGGCUGGGAAGCGUUACCAGCAGAAUAAGCACCGGCUAACUACGUGCCAGCAGCCGCGGUAAUUC
rnacentral:rRNA from 1 species